GGUUCUAUGGUGUGUAAUGGUUAGCACUCUGGACUCUGAAUCCAGCGAUCCGAGUUCAAAUCUCGGUAGGACCU